CCAAGCUUGCUUGGUGGAUCAGUGGCGAACGGGUGAGUAACACGUGAGCAACCUGCCCUGGACUCUGGGAUAAGCGCUGGAAACGGCGUCUAAUACUGGAUAUGAGCCCCUAUCGCAUGGUGGGGGUUGGAAAGAUUUUUUGGUCUGGGAUGGGCUCGCGGCCUAUCAGCUUGUUGGUGAGGUAAUGGCUCACCAAGGCGUCGACGGGUAGCCGGCCUGAGAGGGUGACCGGCCACACUGGGACUGAGACACGGCCCAGACUCCUACGGGAGGCAGCAGUGGGGAAUAUUGCACAAUGGGCGAAAGCCUGAUGCAGCAACGCCGCGUGAGGGAUGACGGCCUUCGGGUUGUAAACCUCUUUUAGCAGGGAAGAAGCGAAAGUGACGGUACCUGCAGAAAAAGCGCCGGCUAACUACGUGCCAGCAGCCGCGGUAAUACGUAGGGCGCAAGCGUUAUCCGGAAUUAUUGGGCGUAAAGAGCUCGUAGGCGGUUUGUCGCGUCUGCUGUGAAAUCCCGAGGCUCAACCUCGGGCCUGCAGUGGGUACGGGCAGACUAGAGUGCGGUAGGGGAGAUUGGAAUUCCUGGUGUAGCGGUGGAAUGCGCAGAUAUCAGGAGGAACACCGAUGGCGAAGGCAGAUCUCUGGGCCGUAACUGACGCUGAGGAGCGAAAGGGUGGGGAGCAAACAGGCUUAGAUACCCUGGUAGUCCACCCCGUAAACGUUGGGAACUAGUUGUGG
rnacentral:rRNA from 1 species